CCUGAAACAUAAAAAAAGAUCAUACGUAAUGAUAACUUUAUUUACGUAUAUAUGUAUGUGUCUGUGCGUGUGCAUAUCGGCAUAUCGGCGUAUUUUAAAUCGGUACAAAAUCAAAAUUUGAUAUAUCGAGUUUAUUGCGGCGUGUCCCGAGUUUUCCUCGAUUCCUUUUUGACAUACUUAUAGGGUCAGACGCACGAAUAUAGACGCACAAAAUGGAAAGAGGGAGAGGUUAGAAAAUGAGAAGUUAGGUGACAUAGGCAAUGAAGGAAACGUUACUUAGCGAGAGGAAGUGUUUUGGCUACCGCUAGUAGCUCGUCCUAUAUUUCCGAUAUGAAUAUAUUACAAGAAGUAGCAUAGUGUUAUUUCGUCGGACCAUUCUUUCACACUGUCCAUUCCUGUGUUGCCACGGUAACAGCCUAGAUUCGAGAGGUUGGGAGAUGCGAACCCACAGAGCAGAGACAAAGGGUAGCGCGUGCGCUCAUUCGUUGGUCCGCCUACAUAUUUGUACAUCUACACGCUUAUACACGUACACGGAUACUGGUAAAAUCUGUCCAGAAGAAGAACAGAAGAGAAAGAAGAAGAGAACCAUUGUCGCUCGAUCGUGUCCUUUUGUUACAUAUUUCCGGUAGCAGGGCUUACAACGGACGUAAACAAUCCAUUGAAAUAUACGGGAAUGUUCCCGUCUUUGUACACGCGUAUAGCCGACCAGUUCCGAUUUAACAAAGUCGACGAACACUCGACCAAUUUCCUUUCCCUGAAAACAUACUUGUCGCGCGACUAUUCAUUUUCAAUUUGUGCUCGGCUAAUAAUUUCCGCGUUCUCGUAUCGGAUCGCUUUUCGAACAUUUGUUGCCUACUGCGAUCGAUGAAAACCAGGUCACGCUUUUCCUCGUAUCAAGAAGACAGGUAAAGUCAAACGAGGCCAUUCGUCCUCGUAAUCACGCACGAACAAUCUUGCUAACGUUUUACUUUAAAUAGCCAACAUUAACAAAUUUAAACGACCGCUUGCAUAAAUAUGCAUAUUUAUCGCAUAAUCGACGCGAUAUAUUCGCAACACAUAUUACUUUAAACAAGAGACUUUGGAAAAUAUAUUAUGUCGUGCUUAAUGUAAAGAGAAUUCAAAGUUCAAAGAUCGUACCACGUGUAAUGCCUUGCGCAAAAUAUUGUAACCUCGCUGAUCGUGCAACGUUUCUCCAGGUAUUACUUGUAUAUCGUUCGACGGAUAGAAAGUUUGAUUACUUGAUAAAAUACCGUAAAACAAGAACUAGUCGGUUUCGCGUCAGUUAACGCCGAUUCUUCUAGAUACAUAUUUUUCCAGAUUUUGCAAACGUAUUUUCUCGAAAAGUAUUCGAAAAGUGCACGUAGGAAUUUCAAGAAAUUAUCGCAAGAUUAGUGAAAGGCGACUAUUGUAAGAUUUCGAAAGAAGAUUUCACUUUUAAUUCUACAUUACGUACGAUACGAAACGAGAAGAGGCGAGAAUAAACGAAA